GACAGAGCUGGCAUUGAAUCCGUGUGGAGCCUCCGUGUGGGGGGAUGCACACCAGCUCUAUAUUGGACACAGGGGAGGAAAAGAGACAAGGUCUUACUAUGUAGUCUGGAACUCACUAUGUGAACAAAGCUAAGUUUGAACUCCCAGAACACUGCCUGCCUGCCUGCCCGCCCGCCUGCCCGCUGGGUUUUAAAUCAGAGGAGGUGCCACCCUGGGAGCACACCCUUUCCUUGGUUGCUGUUUGAGACUGGGACCCAGGUUCUAACCCUUCGCCAGAGCCAAUCUCCUAGCUUCUUCUCCUAGGGCCUGGCAGUGCAGUGCUGAGCUGGACACAUGGCCGGCUGAGACUCCACUCUGCUUGUCAGCAAUGCAGUUUCCCUGUGAGAGCAUUCCCAAGGUCUUUCACAUCCAUUAUCACUGCAAACCCAUGUUGUUGGCAGCCCUGUUGUUUUGUUCCCUCUUAUGAACAAGCAGGACACAGCCACUCAAGGUCAACAGCUAAGUUGGUGGCUGAUGCAACCCUCUGUCACGCCUCUGUGCUUUUGAAUGAGCUGUUUCUGACUCCAGGAUGUCAGCCUUCCUCCACCGGGCAGGUUCCUUCUGGACCUACACUACCUCUCCUCCUUCCUCCUUGGACUGAGUAUCAAGCCAGCUCAGCGAUUGGCCUCCUCGUGAAGCUUCCCUCUAGUCCUUCUUGGCUCCUGUUCCCUGAAAGGAGUUGCCUGCAGCACACUAUGGAACUAUAGCAGGAGGUCGUGAACUACUCGAAUUAACUCCCUGGAGUUAUCUCUUGCCGGGAAGGAAGGACUCGGGCAGGGUUUUCAGAGGGAAGUCUGGGAAUUUCUGUUGAUGUAUGUGAAUACAUUAUUUUGCUAAGCAAUGCCACGAGGUAAGAGCUAUUGGUUUCUGUUGUUUAACACAUCUACUGUUUAAAUCAGUAUUUCAGGCUCUGAGGUACAGCAGGGAUGGAAAUGGAUAAGAAUCCUUCCCACUGGGUCAGUGGUCGGUAGUGUGCUUGCACAACGCUGCGUGUAUCGAACCCAGCAUGGCAUAAAAACUGUGCAUGGACUGGAGAGCUGGCUCAGCAGUUACGAGCACAGGCAGCUCUUCCAAAGGAUCCAGGUUUGAUUGCCAGCAUUCAUACCCACAGUUUAUGUUUACAACUGUCUGUAACUCCACUUGCAGGGGAUCCAGCGCCCUCUUCUGGCUUCCAAGGGCAUCAGGCACACAGAUGUACAGGCAAAACACACAUACACACACACAGGGAGAGAGAGAGAGAGAGAGAGAGAGAGAGAGAGACAGACAGACAGACAGACAGACAGACAGAGAGACAGAGAGACAGAGAGAGACAGAGAGAGACAGAGAGAGACAGAGAGAGAGACAGACAGACAGACAUAGAUACAUAGAUGGCCAUGGUGGUAUGUAUCUGUAAUCCCAGUAUUUAAGAGGCAGAGAUAGAAGGAUGGUAAGGUCUCAGUCGUCCUUGGCUACACAGUUCUAUGCCAGCCUAGGCUAUAUAAAAUGUUUUCUCAAAAACAAAACAACAAAACACACAAUCAAACUCAGCGAUUAUAGAAAAAGGGUAAAAUAGGAGCAGGCGGCUUAUAAUACAGAAACGUGAAGCUGGUUUAACAUGGGAGCAUCAUGUGGGUGCUGGGAAGUGAACGCAGGUCCUCUGCAAAAGCAGUGCUCUUAACCAGUGAGCCAUCUCUCCAGCUCCCUCAGCCAAGUUUUAUUAAAAGCAAUGUGUGUGCGCAUCAGGACUAGCUGGUUUGGGCUAACACAGGGGGCCAGUAAUCUAGACAAAGAAAGAGAAGCUGGGGGUUGGGGAUUUAGCUCAGUGGUAGAGCGCUUGCCUAGCAAGCACAAGGCCCUGGGUUCGGUCCCCAGCUCCGAAAAAAAGAAAAGAAAAGAAAAAAAAAAAGAAGAAAGAAAGAGAAGCUGACUGGUCCUCAGCAUAGAAAACCAAACUAGCUCACCCUCCUUUGAAAGCUCCACUGAGGGGCUGGGGAUUUAGCUCAGUGGUAGAGCGCUUAGCUAGGAAGCGCAAGGCCCUGGGUUCGGUCCCCAGCUCUGAAAAAAAGAACCAAAAAAAAAAAAAAAAAAAAAGAAAGCUCCACUGAAAAGUUCCCCCUGGCAGCAAAAUGUGCAGCAAAUCCUUGUCUUCAAGGAAGCUAACCACCUUGAAUGUUUAAGCGGAAAGAGUAUUAAUCUACCUAGAGCAUCUCUUCCCUCCCUGCCUGCCUAUUUGUCUGACCUGUGGUCCUUCAUUCGGGAGGCGGAGGCUAGAAGAUCAGGAGUUCAAAGCCAGCCUGAGCUACAUGAGACCUUGUCCGGAACAAUCCUACAGCUGAGAUCAUACUUAAUGGCAAACAGUGGCUGCCUAUUCCCCAAGAUUAGCGGCAAAGGUGUGAGCUCCAACUCUUCUCCGUCGCUGUAUGAGUGGCCCCAGACUGCGCAAUAAGCAGCUAGGUUGCUGCCUUGACUCCAUCCCGAUUUAUUCCCAUCCUCUCCCAUCCUCAGGGCAGACUGAGCUCAGCCCUGGAUGGCACGUCUCUAUUAACUCCGCCACCACUGGGACCUGGGGAAGAGGAGGAUGGAGAGGUGGAAUGCUGUUUUCUGGAUGUGAUGUGAGCACUGCAGUCAGCUCACGGCAUCUGAGGUGACCCACCUGCACAGUAUCAGACUAGCCAACGUCCCGGCACAGACAGCGGAGAUGACCUGCGAGCCCCACUCUUUCUUUCCUGAGGAGCUAUUGACCGAGGAAAUCACCUUUGGAAUAACGUCAAGUUUGAGAGGCUUACACUUGUGUUCCAUACUAUGCUGAAUGGUGUGGAAAACUCCGUGGUCACGCAAAGGAGUGGCUGGCACCUCUGUGUCCACAGACUGGCCAGUGGGUAGGUACUGUCCAGAAAAGGUCUCCUCUCUUCCUCCUGCUUUCGUCUUGGCUUUAGCUUCCGAGAGGCUGCAGGGCACGAGGCUCUGUGACCAAAGAGCCACCUGUGCCUCUGUUUCCCCACCUGCUGUGGCAGGGGGCCAGGCUAAUUGAACUGAUACUUCAGAGUGAGGAUUAAUAAUGACUGAGGUAGGGGGUGGAGCAAUGCCUCAGCCGUUAAGAGCAAUUGUUGCUCUUGCUGAGAACCGGUUCAGGUCCCAGUACCUACAUCCAGUGGCUCGGAACUGUCAGUUCCAGAGAAUCUUAAAUCCUCAUCUGGCCUUAACAGGCACAUGCAAGCGUGCUCUCUCUCUCUCUCUCUCUCUCUCUCUCUCUCUCUCUCUCUCUCUCCCCCCUCUCUCUCUUGCACACGGGUGCAAAUAAAUCUUUUUUUUUUUUUGGUUCUUUUUUUCAG
ensembl:lncRNA